GGAGCGGGGUGAGUAAAGCAGUUGACUCUUAAUCAAUAGGUCCAAGGUUCGAAUCGUUGACGGCCCACCA
rnacentral:tRNA from 1 species